UGGGGAAUAUUGCACAAUGGGCGCAAGCCUGAUGCAGCCAUGCCGCGUGUGUGAAGAAGGCCUUCGGGUUGUAAAGCACUUUCAGCGAGGAGGAAGGUGGUGAGCUUAAUACGCUCAUCAAUUGACGUUACUCGCAGAAGAAGCACCGGCUAACUCCGUGCCAGCAGCCGCGGUAAUACGGAGGGUGCAAGCGUUAAUCGGAAUUACUGGGCGUAAAGCGCACGCAGGCGGUUUGUUAAGUCAGAUGUGAAAUCCCCGGGCUCAACCUGGGAACUGCAUAUGAAACUGGCAAGCUAGAGUCUCGUAGAGGGGGGUAGAAUUCCAGGUGUAGCGGUGAAAUGCGUAGAGAUCUGGAGGAAUACCGGUGGCGAAGGCGGCCCCCCUGGACGAAGACUGACGCUCAGGUGCGAAAAGCGUGGGGCAGC
rnacentral:rRNA from 1 species